AACGGGUGAGUAACGCGUAGGUAACCUGCCUAUUAGAGGGGGAUAACUAUUGGAAACGAUAGCUAAUACCGCAUAACAGUAUGUAACACAUGUUAGAUGCUUGAAAGAUGCAAUUGCAUCGCUAGUAGAUGGACCUGCGUUGUAUUAGCUAGUAGGUAGGGUAAAGGCCUACCUAGGCAACGAUACAUAGCCGACCUGAGAGGGUGAUCGGCCACACUGGGACUGAGACACGGCCCAGACUCCUACGGGAGGCAGCAGUAGGGAAUCUUCGGCAAUGGGGGGAACCCUGACCGAGCAACGCCGCGUGAGUGAAGAAGGUUUUCGGAUCGUAAAGCUCUGUUGUUAAGGAAGAACGAGUGUGAGAAUGGAAAGUUCAUACUGUGACGGUAC
rnacentral:rRNA from 1 species